rnacentral:lncRNA from 1 species
UGGGGAUAAUGUUUGUUAUCAUGCCACUAACAUUUUUCAAAGUGUGAAUUUUCUCCGAGUUCAACAUUCAAUUUUCUCUCUUGGAAUUCAAGGUGUUUUACGAUUGACCAAUACAUAUUAAGUCCAUAUAUUAUUUAAUAAGAUUUAUAAUCUUCUUGUUUCAAGCCCAAUCACGAAAACUCUUCAAUAACUAAAAAUAGAAG